ensembl:lncRNA
GUUUUUAGUUAUUAGUUUUUGCUUUGGCAAUGAAAUGCGAAGAUUAUUUACAGCCCUGUUAUCACUUGCAGAAUCAGAGGAUCAUUGAACUUUUUGAGUUGGAAAGGACCCUUAGAGGCCAGCUGGUCCAACUCCCCUGCUAUAAACAAGGACACCCACAGCUCCAUCAGGUGCUCAGAGCCCCGUCCAGCCUGACCUUGAGUGUCUCCAAGGACAGGGCAUCCACCAGCUCUCUGGGCAACCUGUUCCAGGGCCUGACCACCCUUAUCAUAAAAAAACUUCUUCCUUGUAUCCAAUCUAAACCUCCUCUCUUUUAGUUUGAAACAAUUUCCCUUUGUCCUGUUGCAGCAGGUCCCACUAAAGGGGCCCUUCCUUCUUACAGCUCCCCUUCAGACACUGAAAGGUUGCUAUCAGGUCUCCCUGAAGCCUUAUUUUCUCCAGGCUGAACAGCCCCAGUUCUCUCAGCCUGUCUUCAUAGGUGAGGUUUUUUUACAGUAGAGAUGGUGAGGCCCUGGAACAGGUUGCCCAGAGAGGUGGUAGAUGCCCCGUCCCUGGAGACACUCAAGGUUGGACUGGAUGGCGCUCAGAGCACCUGAUGGACCUUGGAAAUAACAUCCUCUUGAAGUUGUUGAUUGGACAGUCAUACUUCUGAGUGCAAAUCCUCCAAAGGAGCUACAGGACUCUGCACUCAGGAAAGCAGUUGCACACAGAAAGAUUACUUUUUGGGGGCUAUCGUUUACCUUUUAAUCCUCUUAUUCUUUUCUCUGCAUAAUAAAGCGUUAUGGUAGUUUAGGUUGUUGUUGUUUGUUGUUUUAUUUUCUUUCAAUGUUUUUUAUUUAUUUAUGUAUUUUAUUUUCCCACAGCUACAGAAUGGUUCUUUCUUUAUAUGACAUACAAUUAUUUCUUGAAGAAGGAAGUUAUACCUGCAUGUAGCCAGAUCAGGUUAUAAGUACCAUGGGUAAUGUAUCUUGAAAGCCUCAUACCUGAUUUGCUAAAUUUACUUCUAAGCUGACCACUUGAAAAUGGACUAGUUAAUUGGUGGAACAGUUCCCUUAGCCUUCUUAAACACAGUAAGGCUGCUGCUUCCACAUAUUUGAAGGAAUAUAGUGGUUAGUCGUACUUUUCUUUUCUUUCUUUCUUUCUUUUUUUUUUUUUUUUUUGUAAGAAGAGCAGACGUAGAUACAUGAGAAAAUUCUUUCACUGAUUUUCUCAAACUACUGGAUAGGAAACCUGCUUACAUUAUUUAAAUUUAAUGUACGAGUUAUAGAAUCAUAGAGUUGUUCCAAAUUGUUCAGUGGCAUGCACUCAAGACAUUUAUUUCAGUAUUUGGCUUUGAGAUUCUGAAAAUACUUCCUUCUUUGAUUUAUCUUACCCAUACAACUGUGUCCACUGUUUUAUUUAAGGCUGCUUGUGUUGUUUUCAUGGUCAUGUGCUUAGAAACUAAAUUUUCCAUGACACCACCUGUGGUAUGCAAGUACCUGAACAGUGACCUUGAGUGUUCACUUGUGACACUAGAACCCUUCAUUUUGAGUAACUCAGACAAUUUUCAGAAUAAAAUAUUGUAUAGAAGUUGCCAUUUUCAUACAGAUGCUCAUUUCUAGGGGAAAAAAAGCAGCUGUAUAUCAUUUAUACAGCCUCAGCUCAGUGUAACUGUAAAAAGCAAUAUAUUGUAACAGUGAAGUUCUCAGAAUUAUGUUGAAAAUCAACACAGAAGCUAUCAGAAAAUCUUAAACUAACGAUGUCCAGUUUUCAACUUUCAGCAAGGUCUUUUCUUAGAGAGCACUUACAGAACAACUUACCAGGCAGGAAAGCAAUAAAAUUAGAUGGUGAUAGCCAAAGCUGUUCAGCUCUGGGAUGGUUCACAGAAUAUGUUGAAUUCACACUUUAUCCAAUGCAUCUCAUUUUUGAUUUCUAUCUUUGUACAUUAACCCCUAUGUGCAGUCAAUCUAUGAAUAACAGUGUCUACAUGUUUCCAGAUUUAAAAGCAAUUCAUAUUAUCUCAUUCAAAUAGUCAAGUUCAGCAGAGAUUAGUGAUUAUCUUACUUCACUUCAAAAGAAAUUUAAAUUUAUUUGAGUAGUGUUUGAAUAUACAGCAGCAAUAGCACAGAACUGAACAUUAUAGACUGAAUGGUUCACUCCAUGUGUUUUCUUCUUUCAAGAGCAUAGGAGUAUAUGUUAUUCUGAAGUAUCCGUUGUCCUCUGUUGGUCUUUCUCUUGAGAGUAUACUGGACUCUCUCCCUUUAAGCCAGUAGACUUGAGUCCUAUUUCAGUUAAAGGUUAAAUUAAUAAGUUUAAGAUUAAGACUUCCUUGUGCCAGUGUAUCAAAAAGAUCUGUCAAUGACUUCAUAAACAAUUAAACAUCCGCAUCAAGUUUCUUUUGCCUUCUCCACAAUGAAGAUGCUGCUGGAGAGAUACUACUGCUAGGAUUCUCCAUCAGGAAGUGGAAACUACUACUGAACAGAACAAGGGCACUCCUAAAGCAAGUUGCUUCUUACUUGUUCACGGCUAAUACUCAUAAAAACUGUUAUAAAAAAUGUUAAUAGAAUUUCAGAUGGAGAAUAGUUCGCUUAAAGCAGUCAGCAAUUGCUUCACAGAGUUGAAAUCCUAGCCUAUCCUUUAGGUGAGAUUAUCAAUGUGGAUUCAUGGAAAGAUGCUCUUCAAUACUGUUUUUUUGUAAAAAAGUAUGAAUCUGGGUAAUUAAAUCAAAAUAAUAAUAAUAAUAAAUUAUUCUGCAAACCACAAAAAUGUAUGUCCCACUUGUAUAAUAUGUCCAUUUGAGAGCAGAGGUGCUAGUGACUCUCAAUUUGUUUUCAGUCAGCAACCUAAUCUGAAAUGACCUCUGUCAUACCCAUGACAUCUGUACAACUGUUAAUCUAUUCUUUUCUGAGAAGACUUGGCAAAUAUUCAUUAAUUUCUUCUGGAAAGAAUACAUAAGGAUAAAUAAAGUCAGAGAAGACUGGAAAAAAAACCCUUUAUACAUUUAGAAGAUAUUUACCAUACCAUUUAAGGAAUUUAACCAACUCAGAAGUUAAUUUCAUCUUCUAGCCUAGCAACAGACUUACAUAUUUCAGACAAAACCAGGGAGUGCAUUUAUUGUUUAUGGAAAACUGAAGUGGUGCUUUGGUCCAAAGUGGCAGUGCUUUCCGUCAUGGAGUCAGUUUCCGCAUCUUUCUUCUUGAACUGUGGUCUGCAACCCAGUGAAGUGUUUCUGUAGGGUUCAAAGUGCACUGGAAAACUUCCCUUCUGCUUUUGUCUCACAACAUGCACUAUGGCACUUCUGUAUGGCACCAUUCAGACUUGAAAACGCAGGCCUUCUCAUGAGUCCAUCUCCAUCUGCAAGCAUUGUCACAGCUUAGGAUGAUACUUCAGGGGAAAGAGCUCAGAGAUCCUUUGCCUUUUCCCAGUGUGAGACAGGUUAUCUGCACAGCACUGUGUUGUGCUCUGCAUAGCUAGUGUCUUGGGCUUGAAGUAAAAAGAGUGAAAUUCAGGCUUCAGUGGAUUAAUGUAAGGCUUCCUCCUUGCACAACAUGUAUGGUUGCUGCCUCAUUGCAGCCAUCUCACUGUGGGUUUUAGAGCUAAUGCUGCCAGUAUUAGCUUGCGUAUCUUUAAUUCGUGCUUCACUUCACUAAUCUUUCAGCAUUUUCUAAUUAAAAUCCACUUACAAAACAAAAGAGUAGAUUUCUAAACUGUUUCUAGUAGAUUCGUUCUCAGUAAUCACUACUGGUUGAUUUCCUUACUAGUGAAAUGGAGUGGUGCCAUUUAGUAAAGCUAGCAAACUACUUUGUAGUCUGGAAAUAUGAAACAUUAAACAUGCAUGAAGCAGUAUUAACCUUGUAAGCUCAUCUGGGCAAGAAUUGCAUCCAGCUUUGUUUAUUCUAAAAAUAACAUUUUUCUUUAAAAGGGAUUAAAGUUCUUUGAGUGCCAUCCACUCCUGCCAAAGCAAACCCGUAAAAGCAAAGAGAUGCCAAGCAAUGGGACCAUUCUUACUGAUAUCCUCUCACAGCAUGUUUUCUUUGACAAUGAUAAAUUACAUUUUUUCCAGGAAUUUUUGCCUUCCUCAGAUGAAACACAGUGCACUGAACAUGUUAAUCGCUCUUGCUGGCUUUUACAAACCCUGCCUUAAAACUUCAGAGACACCAGUGAAUACUGAGCCCUGACAGAUGGUCACAGGCUGCGUGCAGUGUGUUUAUCUGAGGAUGAAGUAUGAAGUCAUAUGUAUGUGUGCAUGUCUGUGAUGUAUCUUCAUUCUGUGCCUCUUGCUCGCCCUUUAAAUAUCAGCUGACUGAGUCAUAAGCAAAGUAGAACAUGGAAUUUGCCAUGCAGUUUCAUUAGAAUUUGUGUCUCAUUCUCAAUUACUGCACCCGUGUUUCUCUUUGUGGGUUGCUGUGUUCUGAACUCAGGGUAGAUUCUGUGAGUUUAGGCAUUCUGAAUUUAAAAAUGAGGCCUCAAACAAGGUCUGAAUCUUCAGACUUCAAGAUAAUCUUCUAGAACUUUGUGUAGCCACUAAAGCAGUUGUGUCUUGCUUCUGUUCAUGUCUUCUAAAAGUCUGUAUGCCUACUCUGUCAAAAAGAGCAAUUCACAACUGCAUUUGAAAUAUAUAUUUUGUUAAUAAUAUACUAUGAACUAUCAUUAUCAGUGCAUAAACAGAGCAUUGAAUAGGACUGUCAAAAAAAGUCUGCUUUUUAUUAACCACUAACAGGAUGAUUGCCAAAAACAGAAGUCAUAAUCAUGUGAAAGAACUCCAGUUCUUCUUCUGUAAAUUGAUAGUGAUAUUCUUUUUCUUUUUUUUUUCUUCCUACGCGUCUGUAGCGCAAACUACUGCACUUCUGUGGUGCUGUAUGCUACACAAUGAAUCUUCUUGAGUAAGAAAUGAAAAGAAACUCCACUUUCUAUUGAAAGAGGAGUUGGAAUGCUCUUGCCUGUCCACAUCCCUUGCCUUGCAAAUGAUUGAUAUCAAUGUGGGUUCAUGCAGUGAAAUAAUCACUUAUGGAGGAAAACAGUCUCUGUCUAAAGAAACACAGUCUGAACCCAUUGGGGUGUAAAUAAUAGUGUGUUUGUCAUCAAGUGUGACUGGGAAAAGGUCAAGUUAUACCAAGAUUUACUGUAAACUAUUAGGGAGCAGGAUGGGUUUGGAUGUGCAGUUGGCAAGAUGGAUGAGGCUUGGAAAGCUGAGUGGAAGCCACGCUGGUGGUACACAGGUGAGGGAAGAAUGCCGAUGAAGGUUUUCUCUAGAUCAGAAACAGUUCUGUUGAAGCAAGAUUUUGUUUUCUUGAGGAAAGAAGUGUAUCUUGUACUAAUGUUAAUUAACAGCAAAGUUACUGUUAGUUAAAGGCAGAAUGUUAAAGUGGAUAGCUUUGUAAUUACAGAAAGAUUUCCCUGUGGGGGAAAGGAAAGUUUUGCAGUAGUGAGACUUGAUGUUCUUCAAGGCUGUAUUACCUUCAUUGUGCUUUAUGUUUCUACUUGCAUGAUGAAUAGUGACACUCAACUUUGCAGUUUUCAUCAUGCAAAGCAGUAAUGAUGGAACUAAAACCCUUUUCAUUAAUGCAGAAAUUUCACAACCUGUUGCACUAUGUAGAAGCACCUUUAUAGGACACAACUAUAUACUGCUGUCACUGGCUCACUUUCUAAACGUGUGGGUGAGUACCAUCACGCUCAGACAAUAUAAUCUCAAACUGUAUUUAAACGCUUUGCCACUAAAAAUAUAUAUAUGCUACAGCCUGUUGUAUGAGGUCAUAAGAAAAAUGAUGGCAACGUUACUUUGAAAACAACAAAAAAAGACUGGUUGAGGGAUGUUUUGUUGCUUUUUGUUUGUUUGUUUUUGUUGUUUGUUUUAUUGAUCAGUAACAGGAUAAUUGCCAGAUAACUGUCUUGAGAUACUUGGUAGAUUUUGUGAGAACUUUUAACAUCCCACACCAGUAACUCAGAUGACAUGUGGUAUUAUUGUGCAAAAAGUAGAGAAAGGGAACUAGGCCUACAUUCAAAAUAGAUACAAAGACUUGCCACUACCAAAUCUUAUUAAUUUAGUCAGUCUUCAAACUGAUUUAUCAUCCAAUUACUUACGAAGAUAUGAAAUACUGUUUAUCUGUUUUGUGCAGAACAGUAUUUCAAUACUGUCUUGUAAAAACAUGCUGCACACAGUGGAAAUUGCCUGGACCAGUAUUUAGAAAUUUGUCCCUUAACAGAGACUUGUAGCAUACAGGAUUUGGCUCAUUAGAAAUGUGAAACUAAAAAUGGAGGCCAUCGAGUUCAUUAGAGAUAUGAAUCUCUUGGAAAUCAGAGUGCUCUAACCUGUAGUUCAGAAAUUACUUCUAUGUUCAGACAGAAACUUAAAAGGAUGUAUUAGGCACAGAUUAUCUCAAAAUAUUACUGCUUGCAGUGGCUUCAGAAAGAUCUAUGAAAUAUGAUCUCUGAGUUGUUUACUCUGCUUUGAAGAGGGAUUAAAACUAGAAA